UUUCAAUUACAAAUUACAAUCGUUGAAGUAAUUAGUCACUUUUAGCUUUUGCCUGUUAACCAUUAACUUCUCUGUCGCUUGAUCACUCUAGAAACAGCAGGUAGGAGAAAACAAUGAAGUCUGCAAUGUCCAGAUCCAUCCUCAAGAAUUCUGCCUCUUCUUCUUUACUCCGCCGGGGUUACACCUCGGAGUGUGCUCCGGAGCGUAAAGUCGCCGUCUUGGGAGCAGCCGGCGGUAUUGGACAGCCGCUUGCAGUUAAACCCUCUCGUAUCUACCCUUUCUCUAUACGACAUAGCUGGCACUCCGUCGUAGAUGUCAGAUUGUCAGCCAUGUCAACACCAGAUCUGAGGUUCAUCACAACUUAAUCAUUCCUUUCAAUCUUACCGGUGUUCAUUUCUUCGGAUGAUCACUUCUAGGGUUCCGAUCUGUCGUAUAGUGAUUCUUCUCUUCGUCGUUGUAGUUUAAUUAAUUAAGCUUGAUCUGUUCGUGUGAUGUUUUUGUUAUAUAGAGGUGGUUGGUUACACUGCAAUUGCCAAAUACUGCUCUCAUGCAUUUGUGCAUUAGAUCAGCAACCCUGUGAACUCCACUGUGCCAAUUGCUUAUGAGCUCAUGCUGUUGUUACAAUUCUGCCAUUGUUUUCUCAGGCUACACUUCAAGCAAAUAGUUUAUCACAUGAAGAGAUAACUGCUCUUACAAAACGAAACACAAGAUGGUGGAACAGAAGCUGUGAAAGGGUUCUGCUACAUUGUCAAUGGCGUGAGACCAGGGAAAAAUGGUGUGGAGAAGUGCUAGUUGGCUCACUUUCAAACUAUGACAAACAAAGAAAAGCACUUCUUCCAAUAAUCACAUUUCAAUAGAAAUAGAAUCCUUUCUUUCAAAACCAAGAUUGACAUGAAGAUAAAGCAAACAGGUUGUACAACAUUUGACAGCA